rnacentral:tRNA from 1 species
GGGAUUGUGGCUCAAUGGUAGAGUGCUUGCCUACCAAGCAUGAGGUUCGAUCCUCAGCACCA